rnacentral:rRNA from 1 species
GUAGGCUGCAACUCGCCUACAUGAAGUCGGAAUUGCUAGUAAUCGCGGAUCAGCAUGCCGCGGUGAAUACGUUCCCGGGCCUUGUACACACCGCCCGUCACACCAUGGGAGUCGGUAACACCCGAAGCCUGUAGUCUAACCGCAAGGAGGACGCAGUCGAAGGUGGGAUUGAUGACUGGGGUGAAGUCGUAACAAGGUACC